UAGUCAGAAAGAAAUAUUUCCCUAAGUGUGAGUACUUUAACUUCCAAUCUGUCUUUUCGUCUAUAUCUAAUAAACUUCUUUCAGCACAUUUUAGGAAAAAGUGAAAACUGAAGGUCUGCAAGAACUGAUGGAAAACAAUUUUAUGAAGAGGAAGGUGGCCAUGGCCAUUCGUGUCGAGUUUAUUUGGACAUUGGCUCUUGCUCUGGAAAAUAUGCAAACUGAGAAGUGCACCACUUCACCCCACAAAUUACGGAGCUUGACAUUUACAAUAAAUGAUCAAGAUUUUCUAUCACCGAAAGUUCAAGUUGUUGCCUACACUGCUUUUUGUGACGAAUGCUUUCAAUAGAGCACACCUACAAAUAUGGAAAAAUAUUUUAAAUUAGAUGUUAUGCUGCACAAAAUAAAUAUAAAAUGUCUGACCAAACACGUCACCUUGGUACAGACGUUUCGCACUACAGAUUCAUUAAAGGAUGUUUUAUGCAUGAUAUUCACCUUAUGGAUUUUCUACUCUGUGCAAGGCAUAAACAAAAAUCAAUACAGUUCUCAGGAAAGGAAUAACAUCUUCAAAACACUUGAAGCUGCCACUCUUACUUUCAACAUCAAGAUUUGGGUGGUUGAAGUAUUUCACUCCAGAUAUUGUGCAAUUCAAAAAAA
rnacentral:lncRNA from 1 species